AUUUUUAUAGUGUAAAUAAAACGUAACAUUUUCAUUGUUAAAAUGAUAAAAAAAUCUAAAAAUA
rnacentral:tRNA from 1 species